AUGCCCAAGUGCACCAUGGGAGGGAGGGCCGACGCCGGGGCCGACGCCAUGGCGCACGAAGCAUCCAAGCUCUGGGCAAAGCUGCCCAUGGAGAAACCCCUCCCCGCUUGCGAGGGGUCCCGCCGGCAGCAGGGCGGCCUUGACGUCGUCGACCACGUCCAGGCUCCGGUGCAGGUGUCACCUAUGCCGGAGCAGGUGGCUCCUACUAGUGCCCACGUCAAGAGUGUGCCUUGCCAUGCUCCUCCGCUGGAGCAGGUGACUCCUCUGCCACGCCAUCUGCCUCCUCUGCUGCAGCCCGUGGUCAACGUCGACGGCGACGACGACGAAGAAGAGGUAGCUGCUCUGGUUCCUCAGACGGAGCAGGUGUCUUCUCUGCCGCGGGCGACGCCUCCUGUGCCCGAGCCCGUGGUCGUCGGCGAUGUCAACAAAGAAGACGUUAGUAGCUCCUCUGGCUUCUCUGCCGGAGCAGGUGGUGGCUCCUCAGCCUCAGCCGGGUGUUCGUCUGCCGCGGUUGUUGCCUCCCCUGCCCCCACCUGUGGUCGUCGCCGACGAGAACGAAGAAGAGGCAAGCUUGGGAAAAAUGUGUGGCAAAAUGUGGUCCUAAGUGACGAUGUCGACAGCGACCCAGAAACCCAGGGGAUCUACAGGAGGCAGAAGGUGAGGGAGCUGGACAGUGGUGUGCUCGAGAAACGUGUCAGGCCAAGAAUCGGAAGGGGGGCUACGGAU
rnacentral:rRNA from 1 species